GCACAGUCCUCGCUGAGUUCACAGCAAGAACAUUUUCUCAACAUGAAGCUCAUCUCGUUUGCUCUGUUGCUGGUGGUGGCCCUGGCAUGCCUGGUCAACUGGAGCAGCGCCAUGCCUGAGCCUGACCCCGUGGCUGACCCUGACCCUGGCUUCCGUCGCUUCGGUGGAUUGGGAUAUGGUGGAUACGGCUACGGAAGUCGUGGAUACGGCUACGGAGGAUACCGUCGAAGCUAUUACGGAUAAACAUAUCCUUGACGCCUAACUCAAUAUCGAAAACAACACUACAAAAUCUUUACUUCCUGUUUUUCUUCUCCAAUAAACUUCGUGAAUAAAUAUUCCAUUCUAUUA